CAGGUGGGAGUGAUCACCUAAUUACCCUCGUUUCCCAUAAAGAGCUGGAUGCGGCUGCUGCUCGGUACCGGAUCAUAACAACACCACAACUCCUGCCUGCUCCUCUGCAAGCCUGGCCAACCCUUCCUCCUCCGUUCAGUUUGUAUCACCGGAUUUGUCUCCAGUCCAUUCCAGGGCUGCACCAGCAAGUUUCCUGGCUAUCCUCCAGUCACGACAGCACCUUCCCAGCCACUCCAGCCACAGCCCUGCCUCACGCCAUCGCCCGCCUCACGUCCCCGGCUCCCUUAUUCUUUGUUCACUGAUCAGCUAAGUUCCCCGCUCACUUCCAAGCCUGCUCAGUGUAGUAUCCAGUUUCUGUCGUCCUGAAUUUUGUGUGUCGCCGAUUUUUCGGCUCGUGCCUGUGAAAGUAUUUCUGCUGCUUUCCUGCCUUCAUGAUACUAAGUACAGGUUAGUUCAUUGCUAUUCCAGUUUGUCAUUUCUAAGUGGAGUCUUAGUGUUCCUCCGCUAUGCUAGGCAGCAAUGUCAUUCCUGAGUCUUGUAUCAGCAUUUCCCGUGUCUGUUCAGAAUCAGACCACUUCCUGUUGUAGUUCGUUUGUGUCUUAAUAAAAUAUUAAGGAUAUAUUCCAA